rnacentral:rRNA from 1 species
GAUGAACGCUGGCGGCGUGCCUAAUACAUGCAAGUCGAGCGAACAGAUAAGGAGCUUGCUCCUUUGACGUUAGCGGCGGACGGGUGAGUAACACGUGGGUAACCUACCUAUAAGACUGGAAUAACUCCGGGAAACCGGGGCUAAUGCCGGAUAACAUUUAGAACCGCAUGGUUCUAAAGUGAAAGAUGGUUUUGCUAUCACUUAUAGAUGGACCCGCGCCGUAUUAUCUAGUUGGUAAGGUAACGGCUUACCAAGGCAACGAUACGUAGCCGACCUGAGAGGGGGAUCGGCAACACUGGAACUGAGACACGGACCAGACUCCUACGGGAGGAAGCAGUAGGGAAUCGUCCGCAAUGGGCGAAAGCAUGACGGAGCAACGCCGCGUGAGUGAUGAAGGUCUUCGGAUCGUAAAACUCUGUUAUUAGGGAAGAAAAAAUGUGUAAGUAACUGUGCACGUCUUGACGGUACCUAAUCAGAAAGCCACGGCUAACUACGUG